rnacentral:lncRNA from 1 species
GGGUACUGUGAAGAAGAUGCCUGUGAUGAUACGCGGUUGAACAUUGUUUUCACAUUUAAUGACAUAAUGGCUAGUUGGCUGACCCUUCUAAGGCAGCACUGUCCAUCUGCAAUGAUUUAUACAAACAGAGUCUGCAGCUUGGUUAUCGUGGUGUUAUUCCUUCCUCCCAGCCCUGUGCAUAUUUUUAGGACCAAAUGGAAGAGCCCACCAGUAGCACCACCCCAUGAGGAAGAAGUUUGUUACCUAUGGAUUCAAGGUGAAAAAGACAAAGUACUAUUUCUUUUGAAAUAGCUGCUUAAGAAACAG